UACGAAGGGGGCGAGCGUUUGUUCGGAAUUACUGGGCGUAAAGGGCGCGCAGGCGGCCUUAGAAGUCAGAUGUGAAAGCCCCGGGCUCAACCUGGGAAUGGCAUUUGAUACUCUGAGGCUGGAGUACGGGAGAGGAGAGUGGAAUUCCCAGUGUAGAGGUGAAAUUCGUAGAUAUUGGGAAGAACACCGGUGGCGAAGGCGGCUCUCUGGACCGUAACUGACGCUGAGGCGCGAAAGCGUGGGGAGCAAACAGG
rnacentral:rRNA from 1 species